rnacentral:lncRNA from 1 species
UCUACAUCCUCCAGGCGCUGACGUUCCAUGUUCUAAGUUCCCCCUCAGCUCCGACAUCCUGUGUCCUGUGAGGCUCCAGUGACCCUCGGAGCCCCGUGCCGAUGCCCUAGCCGAGGAGAUGAGUGAUGGCCAGGAAUUCCUACUGGGACCCUAUCUGCUUUGGAUGUCAAUGGAUCUAAAAGAAGCAGACAAGUACAGCAGAGCCUUCUCCAUUGGUCCCACUCCUGUCUUUAUUAUUUGUACCUUCCCAAAAUGAAAUCACUUUUGUCUGCACUUGACCAGCACAAGCAUCCCUGGUCUCCCUGCAUAAAUCUUAAAGUGCUUUAGAUGUGGGAGCUAGGAUCAUUUUCUUGUCUCCUUCAUUAAUUCAACAAACCUGUGUUAAGUGCUUACUCUAAUCCCUUCAGUUGUCAGUAUUCUCAGCCUCCUCACAUUAUCUGGUGAGUAUUUCUGAGUACCUGUGUGUAGCUUCACUCCAAGAUCCCCCCUCCAUCCAACUCUAGUGGAAUGCAAUGAGUGAUGACUGCUUUAUCUCCAUAGCACCCAGAACAGCAGCUCAC